UGUUAAGGAAGGACUAUAAAUAAUUUUAUAUACUGUGUCAAAAAGAACAAAUAUGAUUAGAAUUUAUAAUAAAAUUAUUAAAAAAGAGAAAAAAAUUAUCGCUUUUUAUUAUUAUAAAGAAUUGAAGCAUAAAGGAAAUUUAAAUAUAUUUCUUUGAAAGCAAUUGUUAAGAAGAGAAAGAAUUGUCUGCUACCCUAGCACGAUUGUGUCUGCCGCCUCUGGCACGCUUUUAGGUUUUCUUGUUUUUUUUAGGUCUUCUUGUUUUGUCUUCUUUUCUUGAUCCCUGUGCCUCUGUUUCUGGAAAAAAUAUGGAGAAUGAUUUAGCCCAAUUAUCAAUUAAUGAAGAGGAGGAUGAUGUUAUCCAAAUCCAAGAAAAUCCUGGAACGGAACGAACAGAAGAGUUUCUUCAAUUGGUCGGGUGUUUUCUUACAGCAAGUAUAAUUUAUUUUCCUGCUAUGAAAAGUACUAUGGCGAAUCUAUGGCAUCCUGUUCGUGGAGUUCGUAUUCGAGAUCUGAGGAAAAAAAGGUUUUUAUUCCAAUUUUUUCAUUAUAUGGACCUUGAAAGGGUGUUGAAAGGCUCCCCAUGGACAUUCAACAAUCAUCUGUUAAUUCUUUAUAAUUUAAGAUGGGAGGAUGAUCCCAUGAAGGUCCCUUUAGUAUUGACCCCUUUUUGGGUUCAAAUUCAUGAUGUUCCAAUUGGUUUGUUUUCUGAAAAUCUAGCAGCUAAUCUGGGGAAUUUUCUAGGAAAUUUCAUGGAAUAUGAUGGGACUAAUUUAGGGAAGGAAAACAGGAAUUUUAUGAGGAUCAAGGUGCAAGUUGAUAUCAGACGUCCUUUGAAAAGAAAGAAGCUACUCGAAUACAGGGGGAGAAAGUCCUAUGUCCGGUUUAAAUAUGAAAGAUUGACACCUUUUUGUUUCUUUUGUGGGAAAUUGGGUCACAAUGAUUCUUUUUGUGAGGCAAAAAUGUUGAUUGGAGUAUAAAUCACAGAAAUGGGUUGGGAUUUAUCAAUAAGAGCACAGUCCCGAAGAGCUCUGUCCAUGAAUAGUGUUUGGCUACGAGAAGAAGGGGAGGGGGCUGUAGGUGGAAUUCUAGAAGGAAAUAGGGGCUGUGCAAGGGGGCUACGGAGAAUGGAACGCAAUAAGAGUUAUGGGAAGGCAGUAGAUCCAAUUCUGGGUUUUAAUGUGGAAGGUGACACUUUGUGCGAAGAUGAAAAGCAGGUUAACUCAUUGAUGGACCAUGGCCAGUAUGCGAUGGAACAUGAUUUGGAGGAUGAGGCUUUAGUGGGAGAAGGUAAAAAAAGAGCCAGAACGGAGAAUGAUGAUUUACUACAGAAUGAGGGGAUUACCUCCCAGGUAAGAAGUAAGAGAUCGAGGGACCUUAACCAAUUGAUAUCGACGGCUGUCAAGAGGCAAGCCGACCGGGAAUUAUGAAAAUCCUAAGUUGGAAUGUCCAUGGAUUGGGGAGUUCACGGACAUUUAGAAGACUUCGACACUUGUUGAAGACUUACAACCCCCACAUUGUCUUCUUUAUGGAGACGAAAAUUGGCAAAAUUCAAAUGAAGAAAGUUAGGCAAAGAUGUGGUUUUGUGAAUGGUAUAGAGGUGGAUCCAGAGGGAACUAGAAGAAGGCUUUGUUUGGCUUGGAGGUAUGAGGUCAAUAUCACUCUGAAAAGCUUCUCUAAAAGACAUAUUGAUGUGAUAGUGCAUGAUAAUGAAAGGGAGAUUAUGUGGAGAUUUACAGGAUUUUAUGGAACUCCGUAUGCACGAGAUAAAGAAGAUUCAUGGGCUAUUUUGAAAAACCUUUAUAAUGGAGAGAAUAAUCCAUGGUAAGUAUGUGGAGAUUUUAAUGAAAUCAUGUAUUGUUUUGAGAAAAAAGGAGGUACGCCCCGAGACGAGAAAAGGAUGGAACAGUUUCGGAAAUCAUUGGAAUUAUGCCAAUUGAAUAAUGUAGGAUAUGUGGGUAGAUGGUUUACAUGGGAACGAGGCAAUCUACCAGAGACAAAUAUACGAGAACGCUUGGAUAGAGGGAUAGAAAAUACGGAGUGGAUUUCGUUGUUCUCUAAUAUAAAAGUUCAGCAUUUAGUGCACUCUUUCCGAUCAUUGUCCUUUCCUUACUGAUACAAAGAAGGAAAUCAGACAGAGGAAUGAAAAAAGUUUCAGAGUUGAAAACUGGUGGUUUUUGGAGGAUUCAUUUGUCGACACUGCCGAACAUUUAUGGAAGAUGUCAACAGGUAAUUUCCUACAGAAACUGGAUUUCAUAAAUAAGGGGCUGGAAGAUUGGGUAAGAAAUAUUUUAAAGAACAAAAAAGGGAAAAAGAUAUAUUUAACAGCAAAAUUAUCUGAAUUACUUGAAGCUGAAAGGGAUGAUAGCAACAUGGCAGAGUUGAUUGAUACGAAGAUCCUGCUUAACUUGGAGAUUGAGAAAGAUGAAAGAUAUUGGGAGCAAAGGGCCAAACUGAAUUGGCUCAAAUUAGGGGAUAAAAACACUGCCUUUUUUCAUAGCCAAGCAACUCAGAGGCGAAAGAAAAACAUGAACAAGAGUUUGCAGUCUGGACAUGGUAAGGCCACGAAAAAUCUACAAGAAAUGGAAAAAAUUGCUAGGUCUUACUUUCAGAAUCUUUUUUCAUUAGAGAAUCAAGAAAAUUGUGAUUUCCUACUCUCGGGUAUAAAUCGUUGUAUUACUGACGAGGAUAAUAAAAGGCUCACCGCACAUUAUACAAGGGAAGAAAUUCGUGAGGCUCUUUUUGAAAUGGGACCUACUAAGGCGCCAAGUGAAGAUGGACUCCCAGCCAUCUUUUAUCAGAAGUGCUGGCAUUUUAUUGGUGAGGAUACAGUUUCAUUUUGUCUUCUACUCUUAUACGGUGAUAUGGAGGUCAGUGUUAUUAAUUCAACUCAUAUUGUGUUCAUUCCAAAAAUUAAUAAUCCCACAAAUAUGUCACAGUUUAGGCCUAUCAGUUUAUGUAAUGUUGUUUACAAAGUUAUUGCGAAAACUAUAGCGAACAGAUUUAGAAGGGUGAUAGACAAAUGCAUUGAUAAGGCUCAAAGUGCUUUUGUCCCAAGAAGAUUAAUCUCUGAUAAUGUCUUGCUUGCUUAUGAGAUACUGCAUUCCUUAAAGCAAAAAAGAGUGGGGAAAAAGGGUUACAUGGCAAUAAAACUGGAUAUGAGUAAGGCUUAUGAUAAGGUGGAAUGGAUUUUUAUCAAAAAGUUAAUGUCUCGAAUGGGAUUCGCUCAAAGUUGGAUUGACAAUAUUAUGAAAUGCUUGACUACUUUCUCAUAUAAGGUUGUCAUCAAUGACAAUGUUGGAAUGAAAUUCUAUCCAGAAAGAGGACUGCGACAAAGGGACCCUUUGAGCCCAUUUAUUUUCCUUAUAUGUGGAUAAGGCCUUUCCAGUCUCAUGAGAACAACAAUAGAGGAAGGAUUUUUAAAGGGUGUCAAAGUCAAUAGACGAGGUCCACAGAUAUCGCACUUAUUAUUUGCAGAUGAUUGUAUCCUUUUUGGGGAGGCAACAUGUAAAGGGGCUAAUUCAUUCAAGGCAAUAUUAAGCGAAUAUAGAAGGUGCUCGGGGCAGUGUGUGAACUUUGAGAAAUCAACCAUCUUUUUCAGCAAAAACACUAUUGAGGAGGAAAUAAGACGGAUCAUUAAUUUGCUUAGAGUCGGAAGCUCAAAUGAGCCUGAACGUUACCUUGGUUUGCCAAACAUGAUGGGACGACAAAAGAAGGUUUCCUUUCAAGCAUUGAAAGACAGAAUAAAACAGCGAAUUGACAAUUGGAGUAUGAGAUUUUUAUCGCAGGGUGGAAAAGAAAUGUUUAUCAAAGCUGUUUAUAAAGCUAUUCCGACUUACUCAAUGGCUUGCUUCUUACUUCCGAAAUCCUUAUGUGACGAAAUGGAAGCAAUUAUCGCGAGAUUUUGGUGGAAAAAAGGUCAGGGAAAAGGGGGAAUUCAUUAGAGCUCGUGGAAGAAUUUAUGCAGUUUAAAAGAGAAUGGAGGUUUAGGCUUUCGUAAUCUCAGUCAAUCAAUAUUGCAUUGCUUGCCAAACAGGGGUGGCGUCUGUUUAAUUAUCCGAAUUCGCUUUUAGCCAGGGUUCUUAAAGCAUAGUCUUAUCCAAAUUCGAAUUUUCUAAGUGCAAAGUUGGGGAAUUUACCUUCCCUUACCUGGAAGAGUAUCUGGGCUGCAAAGGGACUUCUCACUCAAGGCCUGUGUUGGAGAGUUGGGAAAGGAAACAAAAUUUCUAUUUGGAAUGACCGGUGGAUCCCGAGGAUCGAACCUAGUAUAUGGCAGAACAGUCAUCAAAAUGGAGAGCUGGAAAAUGUAUCAGAUCUAAUUGAUGGAAUACAUAAGACGUGGAAAGUGGAGGUUGUUACUCAUACCUUUCAACUGGCCAUUGCGCAAAGAAUAUUACAGAUCCCAGUUGCAACUACAGAUAGUGAAGAUUUGCUCGUUUGGAAAGGUGAACCGUCUGGAGAAUUCUCAGUACAGAGUGCUUACAAACUAUUACAAGAUGCUAAUCUGGACCCUAAUAAUUUAGUACAGACCGAAUUCAAAGACUUCUACAGAAAAUUAUGGCAAUUACAACUUCCAUAAAAAAUUCUACUCUUGAUCUGGAGGAUUUCUUGGAACUACAUUCCUACAUUAGUCAAUCUACGUUGCAAACGUUUAACCACAAGCGUGAGAUGUCCUCGAUGUGGUUCAGGGGAAGAAAACAGUCUCCACGUAUUUUUGCAGUGUCCUAAAAGCAAUGAAGUUUGGCAAAACAUUAGUAUGACUAGGGUUACACCAUACAGAGAUCAGAAUACUAGAACAUGGCUUACUUGGGUCUUCGAAAAAGGAACCAAUGAGCAGUGUAAGGUGUUUUGUUGCGCCUUAUGGGCAAUAUGGAACUCACGAAAUCAAUUGGUGCAUGAGAGGAAGAUUGUAUCAGGAAGGGAUCUUGUUCACAGAAUAAAGGCUUAUUUAGCUGAGAUUGAAACAGUGGGAAUGGAAAAACGUACCUUGAAGACUGUUGAAGUUCAGAGACAUUGGGAAGUGAGAACACAUGACACAAUACACUUUGAUGCAGCUUUUGAUACUAACAGGUAUAGAUCGGCGUCGGGAGUUAUUGUACGGGACUGGCGGGGAGAGUUAAGAGCCUUGAAAACAACCCUCCUCUCCAAUAUUUCAUCUCCGUUUCUUGCAGAAGCAUAUGCAUGCCUACAAGCAGUAAAGUUAGGCUUAGCAAUGGGUCUCCGAUCAGUUACAAUUAUGGGAGAUUCGAAGACGGUCAUAAAGAAAUGUCAAGCAAAAGGUAUGGACAAGCCGAUUAUUGGAGCAGUCAUCAGAGAUAUUCAGAAGCAUAGUUCUCGAUUUCAAGAAAUAAUUUUUCAGUUUAUUCAAAAACCAGAAAACUAUCAAGCCCAUAAACUAGCAAAAGAAACAUUAGAAAAGGGGGAAGAGAAGAACCUGGUCGGAACCGAGAGGAUCUGCAAUGAAGAACUUCUGCAGGAGGAAUGGGCAAGGAACCCGGAUUGAAGGGUUUUCAAAAGAAAAGAGAUUUGAAAAUGAUAACAGAUGGAAGAAAAUCUUUUGGGAAACUGUUAUCCUCAGAACAAAUGUGACGAUUCAGUAUGGAAAAGUGGGGUUUAAUUGCGUCCAGCUGUUAGAUUUGACUGGGUUUUAUUUAUUAUUCUUUUAUUUAUUACUUUUGUUUUUUCAUCUUCCGUUUUGCUUUUAGGAUAUGUCUUUUUUGGGCAUACUUUGCAGCCCAUUUCUGCUUUUGUUUUGGUUGUAAUCCGUAGGAACAUAACCCAAACAUAUUGGGUAUUUCUUUGGUUUGAUUUAUAAUAGCCCAGUUUGAUUAUUCAAAAAAAAAAAAGAAAAAGAAUUGGAGCAUAAAUCAAUAAAUGGUCAGGUGAAGUUUUCAGCUCUACUAGACCAAAGUCAG
rnacentral:lncRNA from 1 species